GUGCCAGCAGCCGCGGUAAUACGUAGGGCGCAAGCGUUGUCCGGAAUUAUUGGGCGUAAAGAGCUCGUAGGCGGUUUGUCGCGUCUGGUGUGAAAACUCGAGGCUCAACCUCGAGCUUGCAUCGGGUACGGGCAGACUAGAGUGCGGUAGGGGAGACUGGAAUUCCUGGUGUAGCGGUGGAAUGCGCAGAUAUCAGGAGGAACACCGAUGGCGAAGGCAGGUCUCUGGGCCGCAACUGACGCUGAGGAGCGAAAGCAUGGGGAGCGAACAGGAUUAGAUACCCUGGUAGUCCAUGCCGUAAACGUUGGGCACUAGGUGUGGGGCUCAUUCCACGAGUUCCGUGCCGCAGCAAACGCAUUAAGUGCCCCGCCUGGGGAGUACGGCCGCAAGGCUAAAACUCAAAGGAAUUGACGGGGGCCCGCACAAGCGGCGGAGCAUGCGGAUUAAUUCGAUGCAACGCGAAGAACCUUACCAAGGCUUGACAUGCACGAGAAGCCACCAGAGAUGGUGGUCUCUUUGGACACUCGUGCACAGGUGGUGCAUGGUUGUCGUCAGCUCGUGUCGUGAGAUGUUGGGUUAAGUCCCGCAACGAGCGCAACCCUCGUCCCAUGUUGCCAGCGGGUUAUGCCGGGGACUCAUGGGAGACUGCCGGGGUCAACUCGGAGGAAGGUGGGGAUGACGUCAAAUCAUCAUGCCCCUUAUGUCUUGGGCUUCACGCAUGCUACAAUGGCCGGUACAAAGGGCUGCGAUACCGUAAGGUGGAGCGAAUCCCAAAAAGCCGGUCUCAGUUCGGAUUGGGGUCUGCAACUCGACCCCAUGAAGUCGGAGUCGCUAGUAAUCGCAGAUCAGCAACGCUGCGGUGAAUACGUUCCCGGGCCUUGUACACACCGCCCGUCAAGUCACGAAAGUCGGUAACACCCGAAGCCCAUGGCCCAACCGUUCGCGGGGGGAGUGGUCGAAGGUGGGACUGGCGAUUGGGACUAAGUCGUAACAAGGU
rnacentral:rRNA from 1 species